GGGCGGUCGCCCUGACAACGCAGACGCCAGCCCGCACAAUGACUUCCAGCUGGAGCAGCCCAGCCAGCCUGCGCGCUCACUCGCUUGCUUGCGCUGGGCUUCAGGGCGCCCGGGUUUUUCUGUGGACCUAAAUUUUCAUUUCUCUGGGAUAAAUGUCCAGGAGUGUGAUUGCUGGGUCAUAUGGUGUCACAUGCCAUUCUUCUGAUUUUCAUGAAUAUCCUCUAAAAGGCAGCUAAACACUCGCCGUCUUCUUCCUUUUGCCUCAUCAAGCACGGGGGAUGCUGGAAGGAAGAGGCUCCAGGGACCUACCUGACUUCCUAUUCAUGCUGAUCCCACUGAGACCCUUAUCAACCCUGACCUGUUCCCCAUGUGCCUCUUAGAUCUGCCUUAUGUUCCAGUAUGGAAGCUUUGUAAAUUUUCCUUGUUAAAAACAAGCACCAUCUUCAUACCUGCUGAAACCUAAUUCUCAUCCAGAGGGAUGUGAGGAAUAAAGGGGGCAGUGAUACCAACAGCGGGCGUAGGCAGCCCAUCCAUCCCACGCAGGUUUAUGGUCCCGUGAUCACAAGAUGGCUGCAGAAGCUCUGAGCAUCACCUCAUAUAGCUCAACAAAGGGGUCUGAUCACCAUACUAUUGCCUGCAGAUGAAGAGGAGCAACAUAUUGUAUCCUGUGUUGCUCAAGAGAGCAGAAUUAGGACUUAGAAUAGCCUUCUAAGAAUUGCUCUGUGCCACCAAAUGGGUGGCAGACUUCUAGACAAGUUUUCUAAACUUGUCAGCCUCAACUACAAGUCAGCUGGUGAGAGAAAACAAACAUUGCUAUCCAGGGGCUUUUGCUUGUCAGCCUCAACUACAAGUGAGCUGGUGAGAGAAAACAAACAUCACUAUCCAGGGGCUUUUGCUGGACUUACUGAAUGUAACAGAGAUCGGAUUGGAUUGUCUCUAAUGUCUGUUUCACGAAUAGAGUUCUGUAAA
rnacentral:antisense_RNA from 1 species